GUCUAUGGCCAUAGCACCCUGAACAUGCCUCAUCUCAUCUGAUCUCAGAAGCUAAGCAGGGUCAGGCUAGGUUAGUACUUGGAGGGGAGACAUUAAUUAAUUUUGAAUAACUCAAUGGAUU
rnacentral:rRNA from 1 species